UGGUGGAACUCUACAUCCAGGGGCCUCUUUU
rnacentral:piRNA from 1 species